UUUCAUGUGUACACGUCGUGUCGUGAUCGCAUGUGUCCCUUUCUAGGUAGAUAUAUGUUCAUGCUCGUGUGUAUAAUUACAGUUUGUAAACCUUCAGGAACGGUGUGUAAUUGUUGUGCACAGUGUGCAAGUGGCAUUGUAUGAGACCUAGAGUUAUGCACACAGUAGUAUAGUAAAUAGUAAGAUGGGACACGUUUUUAGAAACUUUAUAAAACCCACUAAACCAACUUUACCUCCAAAA